rnacentral:lncRNA from 1 species
CGCCGCCAGCGUCAGCAGCUGGGCCGACACGGACAGCGCGACGGCUACGGAGCAGACGGCCGAGCCGGACGCCGGCUCGCUGGAGUUCAGCUUCACGCCGUCGGUGAUGGAGUCGCUGGAGGAGGCCAGCGGCGACACGCUCUCCAUCGGCUCCGACCUCAGCAGCAUGUCAUCUGGCAGCCAGCCGUCGCGACACGUGCGCUUCAAUGAGACCGUGCGGGUUCGCCAGCACAACCGACCUGCUGAGGCGCCCACUAGCGACGCCAAGCGGCGCAAACGCUAAACAGACGCGCUCCGACCGGCCAAGAUAUUAAUCCAGCGCGCGUGGAGUAACGCGCCGUGCAUGGCAAGUCGAGGACGUCGGGUAGUUUAAUGGCGCCUCGGCCGUGUACUUAAAUAGUCGUGUGUUUAGUUGUGAAGUGGACCAGGGAAUACAGGCCCCGUGAAUGUGUCGCUGACCUGGGCCGAGUGCGACGCCGCAGAGUGAGGACCGCUUCCGGUUGUGAUGGCGGACCGCUGAGUUUAUCCGCCUUCGCCUGCCGCCUCUUGCCCUUCUGUCUUUCUGUCCCGCCCGCUUCCCGCUUCCUGUUCUGUUCAGCUGUGUUCAAUGGUGGCAUUAUGGUGAGCUUGCUUGCUCCACACGGGCUGUGUGCCUUCCCUUGCCUCUGUGCGCUGACCAGACCGAAAUACACACAUACGAGUUUC